UUCGCCCUUAGAGUUUGAUCCUGGCUCAGGACGAACGCUGGCGGCGUGCUUAACACAUGCAAGUCGAACGGAGUUAUUUGGAAAGCUUGCUUUUUGAAUAACUUAGUGGCGGACGGGUGAGUAACGCGUGAGUAAUCUGUCUCACACAGGGGAAUAACGCACCGAAAGGUGUGCUAAUACCGCAUGAGACCACAGAGGGGCGUCCCUUAGGGGUCAAAGAUUUAUCGGUGUGAGGUGAGCUCGCGUCCCAUUAGAUAGUUGGUGAGGUAACGGCCCACCAAGUCGACGAUGGGUAGCCGACCUGAGAGGGUGAUCGGCCACAUUGGAACUGAGAUACGGUCCAAACUCCUACGGGAGGCAGCAGUGGGGAAUAUUGGGCAAUGGGCGGAAGCCUGACCCAGCAACGCCGCGUGAGGGAAGAAGGUUUUCGGAUUGUAAACCUCUGUCCUCGGGGAAAAGAAGAAGAUGGUACCCGGGGAGGAAGCUCCGGCUAACUACGUGCCAGCAGCCGCGGUAAUACGUAGGGAGCGAGCGUUGUCCGGAAUGAUUGGGCGUAAAGGGCGCGUAGGCGGCCUGUUAAGUCUGGAGUGAAAGUCCUGCUUUCAAGGUGGGAAUUGCUUUGGAGACUGGUUGGCUUGAGUGCGGAAGAGGUAAGUGGAAUUCCCAGUGUAGCGGUGAAAUGCGUAGAGAUUGGGGAGGAACACCAGUGGCGAAGGCGACUUACUGGGCCGUAACUGACGCUGAGGCGCGAAAGCGUGGGGAGCGAACAGGAUUAGAUACCCUGGUAGUCCACGCUGUCAACGAUGAAUACCAGGUGUAGGAGGUAUCGACCCCUCCUGUGCCGCAGUAAACACAGUAAGUAUUCCGCCUGGGGAGUACGGCCGCAAGGUUGAAACUCAAAGGAAUUGACGGGGGCCCGCACAAGCAGCGGAGCAUGUUGUUUAAUUUGAAGCAACGCGAAGAACCUUACCAGGUCUUGACAUUGAGGCAAAGCCGCGGAGACGCGGUGUGACUUCGGUCGGCCGAAAACAGGUGGUGCAUGGUUGUCGUCAGCUCGUGUCGUGAGAUGUUGGGUUAAGUCCCGCAACGAGCGCAACCCUUAUGGUCAGUUACUAACGCGCAAUGGCGAGGACUCUGACAAGACUGCCGGGGACAACUCGGAGGAAGGUGGGGACGACGUCAAAUCAUCAUGCCCCUUAUGACCUGGGCUACAAACGUGCUACAAUGGUGGCUACAAAGAGAAGCGAGACUGUAAAGUUGAGCGGAUCCCAUAAAAACCAUCCCAGUUCGGAUUGUGGGCUGCAACCCGCCCACAUGAAGUUGGAGUUGCUAGUAAUCGCGGAUCAGCAUGCCGCGGUGAAUACGUUCCCGGGCCUUGUACACACCGCCCGUCA
rnacentral:rRNA from 1 species